CGGGGCGCCGCGCUCCGGCAGGCGCGGGCGCCGGGUGCAUUGUUCGCAGCCUUCCCCUGGCCGGUGCUCGGCCCACUUUUUUUUUUCUUUUUUUUUUUUUACGCGCUCUGCGUUGUGUAUGCGUGAGCUUGCACCUUUUGUAAGCUGGCGAGUCUCUGGACGCAAGACGAGGGGACCACGAGCCGAGGACCUGUCAGUCCCCGAGUGCAGCAGAGUCUCAGAUCCGGGGAGGGGGUGGGGGAAUCGAGGCCCCCGUGGGGUGGGAGGGGUGAGAGAGCAGCUUGGUGGCCGCGAAGCUGCCGCCUUCCCACCCCGGACCGCUUGCAGGAUUGCUUCCUGCGUCUCUCGUCUCGGUUAUUGUAAAAGAACAUGGAGGUCAAAGGACAACUCGUCAGCAAUUGGUUCUCAUCUUCCACCAAGUGGGGUCCAGGGAUGGAACUCAGGUCAUCAGGCUUGGCCCAAUUCAUUGACAUGGUACCAGAUUUAAAUCAACAGCAAGAAGCCUCCUCUCCAAGCUCUACCCCGUCCACUCCAUUUUCCUGAAGCAGAAGCAAGCAGAUUCACAGGGGGAAGAUAUGGCCAACUGCUUUCCAGUGGAGGCCAUGAGAGACUCUUGAGACAUCCAUUUAAAUCUUUAUGUACAGAUCUCUUUUGCCUGCCCUGGCGGGGCCACCUUCUUACUCCCUCCCACCAUUACCCUUUUCACUCCCUUAACCUCAAACAGACUCUGUUGACAACGGUUACCUGAGAUACUGACAAAUGAAAAUGACUGAC
rnacentral:lncRNA from 1 species